rnacentral:sRNA from 1 species
AACUGUUCCCCUCUGGAGGUUUUGAAGACCUUCAUGACUACGGCCACCGUCACGAGCGGUGGCUUUUUUUUGCCCGCGC